rnacentral:rRNA from 1 species
GAUGAACGCUGGCGGCGUGCCUAAUACAUGCAAGUCGAGCGGACGGACGAGAAGCUUGCUUCUCUGAUGUUAGCGGCGGACGGGUGAGUAACACGUGGAUAACCUACCUAUAAGACUGGGAUAACUUCGGGAAACCGUAGCUAAUACCGGAUAAUGUUUGGAACCGCAUGGUUCAGAAGUGAAAGACGGUCUUGCUGGCACUUAUAGAUGGAUCCGCGCUGGAUUGGCUAGUUGGUAAGGUAACGGCUUACCAAGGCAACGAUGCAUAGCCGACCUGAGAGGGGGAUCGGCCACACUGGAACUGAGACACGGUCCAGACUCCUACGGGAGGCAGCAGUAGGGAAUCGUCCGCAAUGGGCGGAAGCCUGACGGAGCAACGCCGCGUGAGUGAUGAAGGUCUGCGGAUCGGAAAACUCUGUUAUUAGGGAAGAACAUAUGUGUAAGUAACUGUGCACAUCUUGACGGUACCUAAUCAGAAAGCCACGGCUAACUACGUG